GCGAGCGGUGUAAGGCACGCCUCCCAGCGAACGGUCCCAGAGAGGAUUUCCAGCCCUGACCCUUCUGUGUUCCCUCCCAACCUCCCUCUCCCACCUCCUAGACCUGUCAGUUCCUCUGCUCCUCUUCCGCUGGUUCCGUCCAGCCCUGACCCUCCUGUUACUCCGCUGAUUCCGUCCAGCCCUGAUCCUCCUGUUUCUCCGCUGGUUCCGCCCAGCCCUGACCCUCCUGUUUUGCCGCUGGUUCCGUCCUGCCCUGACCCUCCUGUGUUCCCUCCCAUCCUCCCUCUCUCAUCUCCUCCUAUACCAGCCAGUUCCUCGACCUCAUCUCCGCUGGUGCCAGUCAGUCCCACAGCUCACCCUCAGUCCGCGCCAUCUGGGCGUGAUGGUUCGCCGCAGGACUUCCAGUCUCCAGCUCUGCCUUGGCAUGUGGAUUCCCUGUCUCCACCUCCAGCCUUCGAGCCCUGGACUCCUCCUCGGUCCUUCGACCCAGCGGCUCCGCCUUGGCUCUUAGCUCCCUCGUCUCCGCCGUGGCCCAGUAUCCCACCUGCUCCACCGGGCUCCCUCGUCCCUCCGGCUCCACCUUGGUCAGUCGUCGACCAUCCACCGCCUUGGGACUCCAUUCCUCUGGCUUCGCCUCAUCACUCCAUCCCUUCGGCUCUGUCAGGCUCCUCCUUCCCUCCGGCUCCACCUCCAUCCUCAGUCACUCCAACUCCGCAGCGGUCUUCCAGGGCCCCACCUCCGCCUUGGUCGCCUGAGCCCUCUGCUCCGCCUUGGCCCUCCGGAUCCUCGGCUUCACCCUGGCUCUGCGGCUGCUCUGCUCCAUCUUGGGCUCCUCAUCCAUCGGCUCAGUCUCCGUCAGGCGGCCCCCUGGUGUUGUCGGCUCCUCCUCCACCAUUGCUCCUCCCACCGUUGACUCCACCAUGGGCCGCUAUCCUGGCUGACCUCUGGAAAUCCAUCUGGCUCCUCCUGCUCCAGGCUCCUCCCUGGCUCCUCCCUCCAUCCAUUCCAACCUGGUUCCAUGCUCCUUCUCCAUUGCCUGCCCCUUGCCUGCCCCACGCCCACCUCCUGAACCCCCACCCUCCCUCCGCUGGACUAUCUCUUUCAGUGUGA
ensembl:lncRNA